rnacentral:rRNA from 1 species
CGGACGGGUGAGUAACGCGUGGAAAACCUGCCGUAUACUGGGGGAUAACACUUAGAAAUAGGUGCUAAUACCGCAUAAGCGCACAGCUUCGCAUGAAGUGGUGUGAAAAACUCUGGUGGUAUACGAUGGUUCCGCGUCUGAUUAGCUUGUUGGUGGGGUAAUGGCUCACCAAGGCGACGAUCAGUAGCCGGCCCGAGAGGGUGAACGGCCACAUUGGGACUGAGACACGGCCCAAACUCCUACGGAAGGCAGCAG